AGAGUUUGGAUUCAUCAACAUUAGAGAACUAGUCACCUGAGUUGGUCCUGCUAUAGGAAUGUCUACCUGUGGAACAGUCAGGUUGGAAAGGAUUCCAAAGCUCAAUGAACUCCAAGAAGAAUAAACACAAAGAGAAAUACAACUAGUCACAUCACAGUAUAACUGCUGAAACACAAAGAACAAGUCUUGAAAGCAGCAAGAGAAAAAUGACUCAUCAUUUACAGAGAAACAACUUAUGAAAAUGUAUUGAAGUCAAGAAGGCCAUGGAAUUACCAGUUAAAUGCAGAAAGAAAAAACACUGUGCUUUGUACCAGGUGAUGGAAGCAGUUCAUGCAUUUGGCCUCUCCCCAGAGGGCCUGUGACCUGAAAUUCAGUUCACCUUGUGUUGCUGCCUCAGCUCUCUGAUAGA